rnacentral:rRNA from 1 species
GCGAAAGCCUGACGGAGCACCGCCGCGUGAGUGAUGAAGGUCUUCGGAUCGUAAAACUCUGUUAUUAGGGAAGAACAUACGUGUAAGUAACUGUGCACGUCUUGACGGUACCUAAUCAGAAAGCCACGGCUAACUACGUGCCAGCAGCCGCGGUAAUACGUAGGUGGCAAGCGUUAUCCGGAAUUAUUGGGCGUAAAGCGCGCGUAGGCGGUUUUUUAAGUCUGAUGUGAAAGCCCACGGCUCAACCGUGGAGGGUCAUUGGAAACUGGAAAACUUGAGUGCAGAAGAGGAAAGUGGAAUUCCAUGUGUAGCGGUGAAAUGCGCAGAGAUAUGGAGGAACACCAGUGGCGAAGGCGACUUUCUGGUCUGUAACUGACGCUGAUGUGCGAAAGCGUGGGGAUCAAACAGGAUUAGAUACCCUGGUAGUCCACGCCGUAAACGAUGAGUGCUAAGUGUUAGGGGGUUUCCGCCCCUUAGUGCUGCAGCUAACGCAUUAAGCACUCCGCCUGGG